GCUUCUGUGGCUUAGUGGUUAGAGCAUCCACCUUGGAUGUGGGAGGUCAUGGGUUUGAACCCUGGCUGAGUCA